ensembl:lncRNA
CACCAGAGAGAGAGAAAGGAGUCCUAAUCAUGCCACAUUUACUUUAGAGAAAAACACUACACUGCAUAACUCACUGCAAUAUGACAACCAUAGAGAUGUGUUCGUAUUCUUGUAAUGCGUUUUUCUGCACGUGUGUCGUUCCUGCGUGUGUAUAUUGUCGUGUGUAUAUUUUAGGAUGCUGGAAAACACUGUAUGAGACAGCGAUUGCUUGGCGAUCAGCUGGUUUUGCUUCGUCGUUGUCAAUUCCACGUCGCCGUAGUUGCUGUGUUGCGACCCACAUCCGUCUGUCUGACUUGAAACAAAAGAAAAAAACCACUGACCUAACGUCCUCUAGGAGGGGAGGUGGAAAAGAAAACGGACCUACAGCUACUGUACGUACGCAGCGGGUUUCACACGUUCUCCGAGCGCUGGCUUCGACUGCAUAAUUUUUAACGGAUGAGGCGUUUGCACUGCGAGAGAUGCGAGCCGUGAGGUAGCCUAUAGCGACUGCAAGUCAGGUGAUCAUCAACAGCUAUGCCUCAGUUGUUUGUUUUGUUUUUUUUGUUGUUGUUUUUUUUUUUUUUAAAGCUAAUCACCUCAUCGAUUGAUGCUCAGAUAUGUCAAACACUCGGGUAGAAUACUGUAGAAAUCAAGGCAUGCUUCGUAAAGAACAUCGUUCCGCUUAAUAUACAGGGGAUCAAAUAAAAUGUCAUAUAAAUAUAAAUAAAUAAAUACAUACAUACAUACAUACAUACAUAAAUAUAUAACUUUGUAGUUUUGAUACACCGGAUAAAAAUAACAAAGAAAUAAAUAAUCAUGAAUUAACACGCAUACAGAAAUGCACUGGAUGUUUUAUAGAUUAGUUACACAGUUCAGGUAAUUCCAAGGAGAAGAAAGAAUACGAUACAUAAGACCACGCCGAAGUUCUAGUCAACAGAUCAUUCGAUUGCUUGGACUAGUUCUGAAUACAGGAUUAUUACUCCGCCAGCUGACUGGGAGACUGGCGUGUACAGACAUAUAAUGCACAUAUGAACACGUCUUCUGUUAUUAUAUCGGAUAGAUAAGAAAUGAAACUUAGCGGUGUGCGGCUAAAAUAUAAACAGGUAACAAAGACCGGUUAAAAUCACCAAAACAUGAAACGGAUCCUCUUUUCUAUUUUAUGGCUUUUCAGUGCACUACAUAAUGUGCGUGUAGAUUCUAGAGGAAACCGAUACGUCACACUGACAUUAGGCAUUCUCUCAAAAGAAAAAAAGAAAGAAAGAAAGAACGAAAACGAGUAAACCAGUUAGCAUCACUGCAAAGCUUGAGGUUUUUUUUCCUUCCUCUCUUUUUUUUUUAUUUUAAUUAUUUUUUUUAUUUUUUUUUAACAUGAACACAGAAUUUGGUCCACAAGUCAAAUAAACCCAGCUACUUAUAUUAACAGGCAACAUAAUAUUUUCAUGGUCACGAAAUACUUGAAAAUGAAACAAAACACUGAGAGAGACCAACAUGACACCUUGGAUAUUCUGUAAGGAUGAUCUUUUUCGCUUAAAAAACCCCCAAAACACUUAGGCCCCGAUUUACUAAAGAUAUGUGUGUGUGUGUUUGUGUGUGUGUGUGUGUAAAACCCUGUGCAAACUUUAUAACACCCAUAAAAAAAAACAGAAAAGAAAAGAAAAAAAAAAACAGUGAAGGCUGAUUUACUUAUAGGGCUUUUGGAGAACUGUAUCUUGUACAUGAACAAAAAUGCGAUAGGAUAUUUCUGUUUAAAAGUCAUUUAAGGUGUCGAAGUGUUUUAUUUACUUACUUACGGAGCCCUCCACUAAUAUUGGUACCCUUGGUAAAUAUGAGCAAAGAAGGCUGUGAAAAAUUCUCUUUUAUUGUUUAACCUUUUGAUCUUUUCUUCAAAAAAUUCACGAAAAUACUCUGCUCUCAUGGAUAUCAAACGAUUGCAAACAAAACACUGGGGAAAAAAGAGUCUACUCUCGUCCAUAAACAAAC